CUUGACGGUACCUAAUCAGAAAGCCACGGCUAACUACGUGCCAGCAGCCGCGGUAAUACGUAGGUGGCAAGCGUUAUCCGGAAUUAUUGGGCGUAAAGCGCGCGUAGGCGGUUUCUUAAGUCUGAUGUGAAAGCCCACGGCUCAACCGUGGAGGGUCAUUGGAAACUGGGAAACUUGAGUGCAGAAGAGGAAAGUGGAAUUCCAUGUGUAGCGGUGAAAUGCGCAGAGAUAUGGAGGAACACCAGUGGCGAAGGCGACUUUCUGGUCUGUAACUGACGCUGAUGUGCGAAAGCGUGGGGAUCAAACAGGAUUAGAUACCCUGGUAGUCCACGCCGUAAACGAUGAGUGCUAAGUGUUAGGGGGUUUCCGCCCCUUAGUGCUGCAGCUAACGCAUUAAGCA
rnacentral:rRNA from 2 species